UACGUAGGUGGCGAGCGUUGUCCGGAAUCAUUGGGCGUAAAGCGCGUGUAGGCGGCCCGUUAAGUCGGAUGUGAAAUCCCGGAGCUCAACUCCGGAACUGCAUCUGAUACUGGCGGGCUUGAGGCAGGUAGAGGAGAGUGGAAUUCCCGGUGUAGCGGUGGAAUGCGCAGAUAUCGGGAGGAACACCAGCGGCGAAGGCGGCUCUCUGGGCCUGACCUGACGCUGAGACGCGAAAGCGUGGGGAGCGAACAGG
rnacentral:rRNA from 1 species